rnacentral:rRNA from 1 species
UACGGGGGGUGUAAGCGUUGUUCGGAAUUACUGGGCGUAAAGGGCGUGCAGGCGGCCACCGUAAGUUAAAUGUGAAAUCCCUGGGCUUAACCCAGGACGUGCGUUUAAGACUGCGGGGCUCGAAUACGGGAGAGGGUCGUGGAAUUCCUGGUGUAGAGGUGAAAUUCGUAGAGAUCAGGAGGAACACUCGUGGCGAAGGCGACGACCUGGACCGAUAUUGACGCUGAGACGCGAAAGCGUGGGUAGCAAA